rnacentral:tRNA from 1 species
GACCGCGUAGCUCAGUUGGAAGAGCAUUGGGCUAGUAUUCCAAAGGUCGUAGGUUCGAAUCCCACCGUGUCCG